AUUGAACGCUGGCGGCAUGCCUAACACAUGCAAGUCGAACGGCAGCAUGAGGUGUAGCAAUACACCUUGAUGGCGAGUGGCGGACGGGUGAGGAAUGCAUCGGAAUCUGCCCAGUCGUGGGGGACAACGCAGGGAAACUUGCGCUAAUACCGCAUACGACCUUCGGGUGAAAGCAGGGGAUCUUCGGACCUUGCGCGAUUGGAUGAGCCGAUGCCGGAUUAGCUUGUUGGCGGGGUAAUGGCCCACCAAGGCGACGAUCCGUAGCUGGUCUGAGAGGAUGAUCAGCCACACUGGGACUGAGACACGGCCCAGACUCCUACGGGAGGCAGCAGUGGGGAAUAUUGGACAAUGGGGGCAACCCUGAUCCAGCAAUGCCGCGUGUGUGAAGAAGGCCUUCGGGUUGUAAAGCACUUUUAUCGGGAACGAAACAUUGUCGGUUAAUACCCGGCAAGACUGACGGUACCCGAGGAAUAAGCACCGGCUAACUCCGUG
rnacentral:rRNA from 1 species